UACCUAAAUAAAGAAAAUCUAAAUUAAUUUUUUUUCACCCACACGACCCCGCGUUUUGACACAAUAACAAAACAAUUAAAAAUUUAUUAAAUAAAUCAAUGCGACCCACCCGCUAAUCACUUUCGAAAAAAUAACAAAAGAAUGAAAAAUGAUCAGAGUUGGCUAGUGUUGAAUCAUGAAGCUGUCAUUUGUUUUCCUCCUAAUCUCAGUUUUUUUACAUAGUUGUCGCACAGAAAAUGACAACAAGGUAUCACCUUGGAAAACCCUACUCCAAAACAACGCUCUUGUAAACGCCCUAAAACCCAAAAAUGACACUCAAGCGGCGCCUUCUUCUUUGACUUCGAGAUUAUUUGACACAAAUAAACCACAAGUGUUAGCUGCGAGGCCGCAGCCUUUUUACCAAAAAUGGAUCGUUUCACCCAUCGUUCAAUUCCUUUCAAUAUUUUCGAAACCCCUAGCGUUUACGUUCCAAAAAAUCGUAAACGUGAUAGAGGACAUUGGACGUAAAUUAUGGGGAAUAGUGCAAGGCUUUUUCGGUAAAAAAACCUCAUUGGAUACUUCGGCUCAAGCGAAUUUGGAGUUGGGUGUCAGCAGGCGGAAAAGGCAACUUACCGCCGCCACAACACCAAACAUUCAAAAUAGCUUUUCCGCCCUUUUACAAGUAAUAAAACCCAUGAAAGCUGUGCUAAAAACUAUUCUAGCAGGGGUUCCCGACUUUACGCAACGUUUCCCCACCGUUUUGGUGCAUCUUGAAAAUUUGAACGGUGCUUUUGAUACAGGUUUCUUUAUUAUCGACACUGCGGUUAAAUACAUAGGGUUUUGGAUCAGUAGAAUACUUCCAAAAUUGACUUUCCUAGUUGAUAUUUUCAUGCUAGUGUGGGACAACAUCAUGGAAUUCAAACCUUGGUUCGAGAAACUACUCACUAAUAUUAUAACAGUUGGCAAAACUGAAAAACAGACGUACACAACAACUGGUCCAAAACCCGAAGUUUUACAGAAAGAAUCUCAUUCGCAACCAGAACAGUUUUAAUUUAACAAUAAAUCCUACUUACCGUCGAGAUACAAUUCUUUCAAUUUGCCCACCGAAAAAUUCCCUAAACUUUGUAAAAAAUUCUCCCGCAAGUCCAAAAUUUCUAAAUUGGGGAAAUUUGCAAGGAAUUUGUUUCCAAUAUUCUCCACUCCGAUUCGUACCAACCGUAAAACCUAAAAACACGUCUACCAACUGUCUUAAAUCCCUUAAAUUCUUACUUUUAUCUUAUUGGCGGGGUUUGGUGAUUUCAGCCUGACGAUGUUGCCGUCAUAGAUCGAAACGUUUUCAAUUUGGGGAUAUUUGUGGAUCAUGUAGUUGAGGUCAAGCUCAUCUUGUUCAAUAUCGCGUAGUUCAAGAAUUGUGAUGUUUGGGGGAAAUUCAUUUUCUAGGUGUGGCAAGUGGGUGACGCAAGUUAGGUGGUGGGGGGUUUUGAGGAUGCAAUCCUGGCAUUUGAUUGGUGCAAGAAGGUGGAGAAGUAUAAGCC